GCCUCCUUAGCUCAGCGGUAGAGCACUUCACUAGUAAUGAAGAGGUCAGUCGUUCGAGUCGGCUAGGAGGCA
rfam:Pseudozyma antarctica T-34 DNA, contig: scaffold00011.